rnacentral:rRNA from 1 species
AUCCAGACUCCUACGGGAGGCAGCAGUGGGGAAUAUUGCACAAUGGGGGAAACCCUGAUGCAGCGACGCCGCGUGAGUGAAGAAGUAAUUCGUUAUGUAAAGCUCUAUCAGCAGGGAAGAAAAUGACGGUACCUGAGUAAGAAGCCCCGGCUAACUACGUGCCAGCAGCCGCGGUAAUACGUAGGGGGCAAGCGUUAUCCGGAUUUACUGGGUGUAAAGGGAGCGUAGGCGGCCAUGCAAGCCUGGAGUGAAAGCCCGGGGCCCAACCCCGGGACUGCUCUGGGAACUGUGCGGCUGGAGUGCGGGAGGGGCAGGCGGAAUUCCUGGUGUAGCGGUGAAAUGCGUAGAUAUCAGGAGGAACACCGGCGGCGAAGGCGGCCUGCUGGACCGCGACUGACGUUGAGGCUCGAAAGCGUGGGGAGCAAACAGGAUUAGAUACCCUAGUAC